UACGUAGGGAGCAAGCGUUGUCCGGAAUCAUUGGGCGUAAAGAGCUCGUAGGCGGCUUGGUAAGUCGGAUGUGAAACCUCCAGGCUCAACCUGGAGUCGCCAUCCGAUACUGCCAUAGCUAGAGUCCGGUAGGGGCCCACGGAACUCCUGGUGUAGCGGUGAAAUGCGCAGAUAUCGUAAGGAAGACCAGUGGCGAAGGCGGAUCUCUGGACAGUUACUGACACUGAGGCACGAAGGCCAGGGGAGCAAACGGG
rnacentral:rRNA from 1 species